UGAGGAAUAUUGGUCAAUGGUCGAGAGACUGAACCAGCCAAGUCGCGUGAAGGAUGACUGCCCUAUGGGUUGUAAACUUCUUUUCUCCGAGAAUAAAAUGAGCUACGUGUAGCUUAUUGCAAGUAUCGGAAGAAUAAGCAUCGGCUAACUCCGUGCCAGCAGCCGCGGUAAUACGGAGGAUGCGAGCGUUAUCCGGAUUUAUUGGGUUUAAAGGGUGCGUAGGCGGGAGUUUAAGUCAGCGGUGAAAGUUUGAGGCUCAACCUUAAAAUUGCCGUUGAAACUGGACCCCUAGAGUGUAAAUGAGGUAGGCGGAAUGCGUGGUGUAGCGGUGAAAUGCAUAGAUAUCACGCAGAACCCCGAUUGCGAAGGCAGCUUACUGGAAUACAACUGACGCUGAAGCACGAAAGCGUGGGGAUCAAACA
rnacentral:rRNA from 1 species